rnacentral:rRNA from 1 species
AUUGAACGCUGGCGGCAUGCUUUACACAUGCAAGUCGAACGGUAACAGGCCGCAAGGUGCUGACGAGUGGCGAACGGGUGAGUAAUGCAUCGGAACGUGCCCAGUCGUGGGGGAUAACUACUCGAAAGAGUAGCUAAUACCGCAUACGAUCUAUGGAUGAAAGCGGGGGACCGUAAGGCCUCGCGCGAUUGGGCGGCCGAUGUCAGAUUAGGUAGUUGGUGGGGUAAAGGCUCACCAAGCCAACGAUCUGUAGCUGGUCUGAGAGGACGACCAGCCACACUGGGACUGAGACACGGCCCAGACUCCUACGGGAGGCAGCAGUGGGGAAUUUUGGACAAUGGGCGCAAGCCUGAUCCAGCAAUGCCGCGUGCAGGAAGAAGGCCUUCGGGUUGUAAACUGCUUUUGUACGGAACGAAACGGCUCUGGUUAAUACCCGGGGCUAAUGACGGUACCGUAAGAAUAAGCACCGGCUAACUACGUG